AACAACGGAUCUCUUGGUUCCGGCAUCGAUGAAGAACGCAGCGAAAUGCGAUAAGUAAUGUGAAUUGCAGAAUUCCGUGAAUCAUCGAAUCUUUGAACGCACAUUGCGCCCCCUGGCAUUCCGGGGGGCAUGCCUGUUCGAGCGUCAUUUC
rnacentral:rRNA from 2 species